rnacentral:tRNA from 6 species
GCGGGUAUCGUAUAGCGGUUAUUAUCUCAGUUUUCCAAACUGAUGAUGCGGGUUCGACUCCCGCUACCCGCUCCA